GACGAACGCUGGCGGCGUGCUUAACACAUGCAAGUCGAACGGAAAGGCCCUGCUUUUGUGGGGUGCUCGAGUGGCGAACGGGUGAGUAACACGUGAGUAACCUGCCCUUGACUUUGGGAUAACUUCAGGAAACUGGGGCUAAUACCGGAUAGGAGCUCCUGCUGCAUGGUGGGGGUUGGAAAGUUUCGGCGGUUGGGGAUGGACUCGCGGCUUAUCAGCUUGUUGGUGGGGUAGUGGCUUACCAAGGCUUUGACGGGUAGCCGGCCUGAGAGGGUGACCGGCCACAUUGGGACUGAGAUACGGCCCAGACUCCUACGGGAGGCAGCAGUGGGGAAUAUUGCACAAUGGGCGGAAGCCUGGUGCAGCAACGCCGCGUGCGGGAUGACGGCCUUCGGGUUGUAAACCGCUUUCGCCUGUGACGAAGCGUGAGUGACGGUAAUGGGUAAAGAAGCACCGGCUAAUUACGUG
rnacentral:rRNA from 1 species